GUCUUCAUUGGUUUGGUGAUUUUAGUCGUUCUAAUAGUAGUAGUAUUGUACUACAUCAAAAGAAAGAACAAAUGUCCAGCAGGUAGGUUCCAUUUAUAGCAGUAAAACAUUCUUCUUGUUCAUGUUUUGUCACAUCUUUGAUGAUGUUAAUGUUUUCUGUUGAGUCAUGACAGUGAUGGUAAAUAUGUUUUUCUCUGGUUUUAUUUAGUUACAGACAAAAACAAUCAUGCAGACAACUCCAGAAAGAAACCCCAAGAUACACGACAAUCAGGGGAAUAAUCGAUGUCAUUGUCAGAGCAGGAGGAGGUUGAACCUGUGUAACCAGUCUAAACUCUCAGAUAUCAUUUGUUCUCUGUGGACUACAUUUGCUCCAGAAUCCAGUUAUUAUUCAUCUGGACGCUGUCUUUACAGAGAACAGAAAAGACAAAUCAGUGAGAUCAACUUCUGGCUUAGAACACCCUGCUGACAGUGACACAGAGACACUUUAUUUCAUUUGUGAAUUGUGUUAUGUAUGAAUGUUUACUGAAGUUAUUUCAGUUAAACUGAGUGUGUCUGUCUUAAUAGACUAAUAGUUUGAGACUGUUCUAGUCUGACCUGUGUGUCUUUUUAAAAAGGUUGAACAUUAACAUGUUUUAUCAGUAUUUUAGGAUUAGGUUGAACUUUAAAUUAUCAUAUUUUUUUUUUUAUUCGAUCUGACAUUGACAGUCGACAAAGAAUGUCAAAUUAUAGAGAUUAAUAGAUUAAUGAGUUGUUAAAAAAACGUUGAGCAUUGACAUGUUUUAUCAGUAUUUUAAGAUUAGAUUGAACUUUAAAUUGUCAGUGACAUUUUUUAUUGAAUCUGAUAUUGACAGUCGACAAAGAAUGAAAAAUGGUGUGCAAAUAAUAACUGAAUCAAUAAAAAACACUUUAAACCUAAA